rnacentral:rRNA from 1 species
GAUGAACGCUGGCGGCGUGCCUAAUACAUGCCAGUCGAGCGAACGGACGAGAAGCUUGCUUCUCUGAUGUUAGCGGCGGACGGGUGAGUAACACGUGGAUAACCUACCUAUAAGACUGGGAUAACUUCGGGAAACCGGAGCUAAUACCGGAUAAUAUUUUGAACCGCAUGGUUCAAAAGUGAAAGACGGUCUUGCUGUCACUUAUAGAUGGAUCCGCGCUGCAUUAGCUAGUUGGUAAGGUAACGGCUUACCAAGGCAACGAUGCAUAGCCGAGCUGCUAGGGUGAUCGGCCACACUGGAACUGAGACACGGUCCAGACUCCUACGGGAGGCAGCAGUAGGGAAUCUUCCGCAAUGGGCGAAAGCCUGACGGAGCAACGCCGCGUGAGUGAUGAAGGUCUUCGGAUCGUAAAACUCUGUUAUUAGGGAAGAACAUAUGUGGAAGUAACUGUGCACAUCUUGGCGGUACCUAAUCAGAAAGCCACGGCUAACUACGUG